UAUUUUAAAUGAAUUAAAAAUGACCAGAAAUGAGAUAAUUCACAAAAAAUAUUAAAUUGAAUCACAAAAAUAAUUAAAAAUCAUUUUUAGAAACUAGAAUUUAAGAGAAUUUUUUUGCAAUUGGUCCCAUAUUUUUGUGAUUCCAAAUAAAGAAGUUAUGAAUUUUUAAAAUAAAAUGGAAUAAAAGAAAAUUAAAACAAA
rnacentral:lncRNA from 1 species